GAUGAACGCUGGCGGCGUGCUUAACACAUGCAAGUCGAACGAGAAAGCCCAGCUUGCUGGGUGGCUUAGUGGCGAACGGGUGAGUAACACGUGAGUAACCUGCCCUUAACUCUGGGAUAAGCCUGGGAAACUGGGUCUAAUACCGGACAGGAGCGUCCACCGCAUGGGGGGUGCUGGAGAGAUUUAUGGUUGUUGGUUGGGUUCGCGGCCUGUCAGCUUGUUGGUGAGGUAUUGGCUCACCAAGGCGACGCCGGGUAGCGUGCCUGAGAGGGUGACCGGCCCCACUGGGACUGGGAUACGGCCCAGCCUCCUCCGCGACGCAGCAGUGGAGAAUAUUGCACAGUGGGCGCAAGCCUGAUGCAGCGACGCCGCGUGGGGGAUGACGGCCAUCGGGUUGUAAACCUCUUUCAGUAGGGCAGAAGCGAAAGUGACGGUACCUGCAGAAGAAGCACCGGCUAACUACGUG
rnacentral:rRNA from 1 species